CGUUCCCCGACAUAGCCAAAAACACAGCUGUAACAACACAGAAGCAGAGGUCAGCGGGAGAAAAACCUAAAUGGAGGAAAAGGGGCAUGCAGGCGCAGUACCUCAUUAGUGAAACUGUAACUAGCGUCACCAGCCACCAACACGAGGUCGACCUUUUAAAUAAAACCUCCCAGCUCCGUCUGAACCCAGCGAAAGCCAGAGGAGAGGAUCUGUCAGCUUCGUGGCCAUAGGUCACGGGAAGGAGAGAGAGGAGGCCUCAAAGGGCCACACAGACAGCCAGCACAAGGACAGUGGGGAGAGAUUUAUACUGACGUAAUUUUCUUCCAUAUGAUU